AAAAAAAAAAAAAAAGUUGAAGAACACUGCAAUACAGUCUGAUAGCUUCUUAAAAAUGUAUAUAUCAGGAAAAAAAACCCCAAAAUGUUAGGCACCAACAUAUGAGCAGUAGUUGUCUCUGAGAAGUGCAAUGAUGGAUCAUUUUUCCUUUUUUUGUUGACUAUAGUUGCUUAUUUUUUUAAACAAUGACCACGUGGUGAAGAACAUAGUACAAAUAUUUCCAAUAACAACGAAGAGACCGAGCACACCUGAAACUAAUAUAACACCGUAUGUUAAUGGUAUUUCUGUUAUUAAAAAAAAAAAAAAAAAAAAAAAAAGCCUAAAAGCUAAAGCAUUAUACUGGAAAAAAAGGAAGAAAAAAGAAAGAAGGAAGGAAAGAGGGAAAGAAGGAAAGAAAGAAAAGAAAAGACAAGAAAAGAAAAAGAGGGGAGGGAAGGAAGAGAGGACAGAGCAAGCAAAACGACCUAACGGAUUAUCAUAGCAAAUGUGUGUGAGGGAAGCCAGGCUUUUGUUUGGAGAAAGCUCAUGUGGUGCGGAAGACAGCAGACCUGGCUUGUGAAGUCAUCAUCCCUGGGGGCUUUGUUAAUGCUCUCCCUGGCCUUAGGAGAGACCCAAGAGGGCUCAGCCAAGCACAACUAAUAAUAGAAUUAAGAAAAUAGCCUUUCGGAUUAUUUAGCCUAAAAGAAAUUAUGGUUUAAAAAUUGUCUUAAGGAAAGAGGUUUUAGAUGAAAACACUGAUCAACUGCAAACCAUUUUCGCAGAGGAUCGAAGAAGAAGAAAUGGCCUUAAGUUGAUUAAGAGAGGUUGAAGAAGAGUUCCUUGCCAGGGAGGCUGAUGAGAGCCUGGCAUGGGCUGAUAGCGGGCUUGCUCAGUCCUGGGAGGACUGAAUAUAAGAAACGCCAUCUGUCCUAGAAGAUCCAGGGAGACUUUCCAGAAGGUUCCUUGAAGUUCCAAUCCUAUGAUGUCUCGAUGAAGAAUUACAUUUUACACUCGAAAGAACUCUCCGAAUGAACCCUUUCAAUUCAACAUACGUGGGCAUAAGAUUCAAAGUAUGGCCAACACCAUGCAUCACAUCCAAAGUCCAUUUUGUCCAUGGUUGAUGAUUCCAUGAAUGCAAUGUGCUGCGGAGCACGAUGGUGUGGGCUUCUGAUGAGAAGUUGGAGCACGCUGUUUAUUUUGUUCUUCGGUCUUUCUAUCGAAACCACUUGAAAACAUCACUUAACUAGGUAAUUUGGGACAGCCUUCGGUUUACAGCCACCUUGGCUCCUUGGCUCAUUUCUCUAUCACUCUCGUCUUUGCCUUCUUAGGCCAGGAAAAGGGACAAGGAAAAUCUCUCUCUUUGGCACCAAGGAGGUUCCUUAAUUGUUCGAAUAUGCUUACAAAAGAUAUGGUUGUAUUUCACAUGCAGGGUUUUUUUUUUUUUACGUGUUCUAAAUUCUUUGGUUUGAAUCCACAUUUUUUACCAUUUUUCAGUAUGUGUUCUAACCUUGUUUUCUAUCAUAUUGGACCAAGUAGGCACUUUAAUGAGAUGCUUCUGCCUCUUUGUUUCUAGGAGAGAAAAUGGAAUCAGAGAGGAGGAUGUUUGCCAUGACUGAAAUCCCCACAAAUGGGAAGAAAGACUGAUCAAACCCUAUUGCUUCUGUCUCAAUUUGUACAAAUGAAAGGGAAGCAGAUUUUUACCAAUUUGUGACGGUCUCCAGGAAAGACGUGAGGGUGCUGAAUAUCCCAAUUUUCUGUUGUUCAGUGGCCCAUCAGUUGCUUUAAAAAAGCAUCCUGCUGAUAAGGAGAAACCAGAACCCUCAUAACACUGCUUGGGGGAAGGUAAAAUGGUGCAUCUGCUGUGGAAAACAGUGUGGCAGUUCAUCCUCAAAAAGUUAGACAGAGAAUUACCAUGUAACCCAGCAGCCCCGCUCCUAUGUAUGUAUAUGCCCAGGAAAUUUGAGAAACAUUUGUCCACAUGGAAUUUGUACACAAAUGUCCAUAGUAGCAUUAUUCAUAAUAGUCAAAAAGUAGAAGCAACCCAAAUGUCCGUUAGCUGAUAAAUGGACAAACAGCGUGGUCUACUCAUACAGUGGAGUAUUAUUUGGCUGCAAAAAAGAAUUCUAGCAAGAUAUUUAAAUCAAAAAUAAAAAUAAAUCAUUGGGGCAAUUUCUUCAAAUCAAGGAAGGCUUUAUAUCUAAACAUGUAAGAGUAAUAAUAAUGCUCAUUUGUUUAUUAUAGUUACCAUUCUACAUAUCUCGUUUGAUUCUCAUGAUAACCCUCAAAAGUAGUUGUGAUCAUUCCCGUUUUCAGACAAGCAAACGGAAGUUCAAAGAGAUACGAUACUUUCUGAAGUCUUCUAGUUGUCCUGUUCCCAAAGCCUGGCCUUCUCGUGGUCUCUGAAAUGUGUGAUGCCCUUGGCCUCAGGCUGGCAGAGGAAGUUGGGGGUAGUGGUGAAAAGAACCAGCUGCAGUGUGGUUUUGUGUUUUCCGACAACUAUUUCUUGGGGUGAAGAAGCAGGCUGCCCAUCACAUGCAGUGGUCUUAGUUCUUAAUAGUAGAGUUCUAGUUGGUAAUUAGAUAAAAGAUUCAGGCAUCAGGAGGUAGUUUUGUGCCUGUACCCCAAUAAUAAAUGGAAGGGCAGUACUGAAUUCAGGGCUAAGAGGAGACAUUACAAUCUAUUCAGUCAUUCCAACUACUCGGGUAAUUCUUUGCCCGUCUGUGGCUUGGUCUAGGUUUGAAGCAAGCUUCUUGGGUCCACGGGUAGAGUUCUUCUAGUUGAGAUUCAGGAGCCAGGUCGCCCCAGGCAGGUCCUGGUUUCGUGCCCGUGGCUCCUUUCAGCUCCCAGCCUCUCCCAGCCCCACAGCCUGAGCUCCUCUGCCAGUACGGACCCCGGUCCUAGCCCCAAUGUCCCAGACCCGUGCGACGCUGCCAGGCUUUGCAAGGUUAUUGGCACUUUAGCAGUACUCACGUGCUUUGUGCCUGCUGCCUUUUUUUCUGGUCUCUGGUUUUUGAGCUCAGCUCUGUAAUAAAAUUCCGUUGUUGUGUUUUAUUCAGUAUUUCCAUUCAUUGGGAGCAGGACAUCCUUUCUCAUCAUCUGGGUCUUCCACGUUGAUCAGAAUGUCUACAUUUUUACCGUUUCUUUUGUGGCCUAAGUGUUAUGGACUGAAUGUUUGCGUCCUCCCAAAUACGUCUGUUGGAGCCCUCAUCCCCGAUGCGGUGGCGUGAGGAGGUAGGGCGUUGGGCGGGGAUCAGGGUAGAGCCCUCUCCUCAUCUCCUUGGCCCUAUUUAAAAGCUGUUGGUCUUAAAUUCCACUUUAUCCGAUCUUCAUAUUGCCUCCACUCUCACUUUGUUUACUCGUGCCUGAUCUCGUUUCCCAUCUCUUUCUUUCCGAGCUUUCUUUGUGAUUUCAUUUGGCUGUUUCCCAUAAAUAGCACAUAACAAACAGUUCUUUAAAACUCUAUUUUCAAUUAUGUGUCAUUCAAUGGAGGAAUUUAAUCGAGUCCUAUUUAUUGAGAUGCCUGAUAUCUUUGGUAUUUUUUCUUCUUUUUCAUUUUUUUCACUAUGUUUUACAUUUUCUUCUUGUUUUUUUCUCCUACACCUCCUCCCUUCCCUCUCCUUUGUGUGUGUGUGUUUUUUUUUUAAUUCUUCCUACACAUCUUGUCCCCAUCCUCACUGGUAAUUGGAAGUUCACCUGUGUAUCUCUUUAAAAAAUUUUUUAAUGUUUCUUAUGUAUUUUGAGAGAGAGAGAAAGAGAACACAAGCAGGGGGAGGGGUCGAUAGGGAGGGAGAGAGAGAAUCCCAAGCAGGCUCUGUGCUGUCAGCUCAGAGCUCAACGUGGGGCUUGAUCUGACAAACCAUAAGAUCAUGACCCGAGCCGAAAUCAAUAGUCAGACACUUAACUGACUCAGCCACGUAGGUGCCCCUUAAUUGAUUUUUUUUUAAAUCCAGAGUACUCCUAGGUCUUUUCUCCAAAUGGAACAUGGGCAAGUACACUUACGUAAGUCCCCAGGUGUCUUUCCUUGGCCUCCCAUAUGCAUGAUAUUGGCUAGGCAGAGGGGUCUUGGAUCAGAGCCUUAUCUCUCAAAAGCCUUAAGCCUGGCUCCACUGCCUCAGUGUUCCAGGUGUUCCCAGUGAAGAAUGUGGUGCCGUUUAUAAAUAAUUUGCAGUGUAAAUCUGGUGCCUCUGUAAAUAAUUUGUCUUCAUUCUCUGGUAGCUAGGAUUAGGGAAUUCUCCAGAUUAUGUCCAGACGUGAUUCUUUUUUUUUUUUUUUUCUCUUCAAAUUAUUGUUAAUUAAUCUUGCUUGGUACUUGAGUUUACUUCUGGCCCCAAAAUUGUUCUGUAUUCAGGUAAGGAGUAUUCUGCUUUUUUUUUUUUUUCGAGUGUGCUUCUCCAUGUCAUUUUUCUCGAGCUCCUAAUAUUCAAUAGCCAGUAUUCUCCAGUAUACAAAUCCUUUUUUUUUUUUUUUUUUUUAGUGUUUGUUUAUUUUUGAGAGGGUGGGGAGGGCAGAGAGAAGGAGGCAAAUGAUCCAAAGAAGGCUGUGCUAUGAGCACAGAGCCCGAUGCGGGGCUCAAACUUCACAACCGUGAGAUCACGACCUGAGCUGAAAUCAAGAGUCUGCCACUUAACCGACUGGAGCCACCCAGGCGCCGCCCCCCUCCCGAGAAUGCAAUAUUCUUGAAUCUGUACUCCCUAGCUCUUCUGUUUUAUUAAUGCUUUUCAUUUCAUUGAAUUUUUGAGCUAUGCUCUGAGAUCAAUCAGGUCAUUGGUCAUGCAGAACUUGUGCAUCAUCAUGAGGAAGUUCAGGACUGAGGGAUGAAUGUACAUUGUUAGCACGCUGUGCUUUUUGUGCUAGCUGCUUGGAGAUAGUUUACACCUGGAAAGAAACAGGGUCCCCAAACCCCUUGAUGGGGGAGCUACUUCAGGAAGGGGGAAACUUCAGAUUCCCAGGCUGACCCCAGAUCACAUUUCAGUCUGACACAUCCCAGGAUGAAUCCAGUUUCUAGAGGAAGUAGCAGUGCUGAUGGUUUUUGAAGUUGAGUUUGUCCUUUGAUCCAAUUGGUUAUUUCCUGUAAUCAUGUCUUUUUUCCCCUUUGUACCCUGUUUAUAGCCCCACACUCUUGCUCUUAUCACCCUGACAUGGGUCCUGGGUGUUGUUACCAUUUGUCCCUGGGUCAGCUUCCUUCUGAGCCUGUGAGUUCCAUUUACCUUCCUGCCUCUAUAACAGAGUACCACAGCCUGGGGUGCUUAAACAGUGGAAAUUUAUGUCUCAGUUCUGGAGGCUGGAAGUCCAAGAUCAAGGUGUCAUCAGGUUUGGUUUCUUUUGACGGCUCUCUCCUUGGCUUGGAAGAUGGCCGUCUUUUGGUUGUGUCCCCACAUGGUCUUUCUUUGGUGUGUGCACAUUCCUCAUGUGUCUGUGUGUCCAAAUUUUCUCUUCUUCUAAGGACACCCAUCAGAUUGGCUUAGGGCCCACCCUAAUGAUCUCAUUUAACUUUAACUUUUUAAAGGCCUUGUUUUCAAGUAUAGUCACAUUCUGAGCUACUGAAGAUUAAGGCUUCAACAUAUGAAUUUGGGGGACAUGAUUCAGUCCAUAACAUACCACUAGAGCUUAGUGCAGGGUUUGUUGAUAGUAGAUUGACAGAUAAAGGUUAGUUGAAUGUCUGGAUGAAAGCUCCCCAAUUUGUUCUUUAAUCAUGUUGAUUUUCAAGCAAGUUGUGUUGCAUGGGAUGGUGCCAUAUGCUCUUUAAAGAUAAAUUAAAUGAACUGUAUCUUUAUUGUCUUCUUUAUCCUUAGCCAGUCAUAUUUUGUAUAAAGAACUCUAUGGUAGUAUGAAUACUUCCCCGACCCCCGCUCCAAAAUAGUCUUCUAUUGCAUGGUAAGGAAAUAAGUUCUAUGCCUUAGGGCAGGUCCAAUCCAUAGUCUCUGUGGCAUAGUCACUGGAUUUCUCGCAACAGGCCUAUGUGUGUUUGUCUGUGGGGAUUUGAAUCUGUGUUAUUACAUACCGGAUUUACCUGCCUUGGGAAUUUAGUUCUUUUUUAUUUCUUAGCACACUUUCUCUGUUUCAUCAUAUUUAUUUCAAUGCUCUGCCCCAAGCUCUGGCAAAUUUGAAUUUUUCAGAAAGCACAGAGAAAUGCAUUAUACUGAUUAUGUCAGUUAUUUGUGGUUAUUCUUCUAGUUUAUAAUAAUGAAAAGAUGGAAUUAAAGUUUUUCCUUUGGCUA